UGUUAACGAGCCUCAUUCAUGUUGUCUUUUCAGGCAAAGUCCUGAAUCUAGAAAAAUAUCUGUGAAAUGAUGUCACAAGUUACUUUCAUUACACCUUCUUUGUUAGUUUUAUUACAUUGUUCAUGCUGGUCAGAGGUCAGCAAGCAUCUCCCGUCACCUCCAUCAACAUUUAGAAUGUUGUGGAGAGCCCUUUACAGAACCUCUCACUUGGACACCACGAACAAGGCUAAGACCAGUCCAUGGGCACUGCACGGAACCCCAUGUAGAGAUCCUGCCAGACCGUGACUUCUUCUGGUCAUUGUCCCCCUCUGUUCGAGGUGAUUGCCACUGUAAGAGACAAACUGACAGUGUUUGAAUUUUCUGAUUGUAGAAGCCUGAGCUUAACAAUUUAUUGCCAAAGUUUUAGUCUUUUCAUAAUAUCUGGAAAUUCUUUCAACAGCAGGUAGAAGGAAGAUAGAGUGCACUGGACCAUCCAGAUAAACUUGAGGACUGUGGGGAUCCUAGAAGUGCUGCUCACGUUCUUCUACUGUGAGAAGAAAUGAAGUCACCACCUACCUCAAGGCCCGUAGUGGAAAAGUCCAGGACUGGUCAGUCUGUGACCCUGUCAUCCAAAGGAGUGGAGACAGCACCAGCGGCACAGAGCAGUGGGCAAAUGGGAGCAACCUUGACUGGUGUCAGGUGACAAGAGCUGGGCAGAGAAUUCUUUCAGUAGCAGGCGGAAGGAAGAUAGACUGCACUGUACUACUUUCUAAAUGAAAUCCUGGGCUGUGGGAAUUCUAG